CUUGAAUUACUCCCAUGCCCUCUCUCUCUCUCUCCAUUGAAGAUGUGACAUCCUCCGGUGUCGCCGCCGCCGCCGCGGCUCGCGUCGCACGAGCUCCUUCCACCGCCGCUCUCAAUGCGUUUGCUCCUUUCGUCGUCACAUGAGCUUUCUCGGUCGUGCACUUGUCUUACGAGCUCCCUCCGCCGCCGCUCUCGCGCUGCUUCUUCUCUCCUCGUCGGAGGUCCGCUGAAGGUUACACCAUUUAUGGUCGAGUGAAGAUCCCCAGCAAUUUAGGAACAAAAGACUAUAUAAUUCCCAGAAAAGUGUCGAAUGUCAAAGUCAUACUCAAUGGUGGUCAGAGAGUUACUUUUUUGAGGCCUGAUGGAUAUUUCUCAUUGUAUCCUUUAAUUUACAUCUUCAUUUUAAACUCAUUUCAAUUUGCAUGAUAACUGCUAUUACAAUAAUACUUUAGU